rnacentral:rRNA from 1 species
AUUGAACGCUGGCGGCAUGCUUUACACAUGCAAGUCGAACGGCAGCACGGACUUCGGUCUGGUGGCGAGUGGCGAACGGGUGAGUAAUACAUCGGAACGUACCCAGUAAGGGGGGAUAACUAUCCGAAAGGAUAGCUAAUACCGCAUACGCCCUACGGGGGAAAGAGGGGGAUCGCAAGACCUCUUGUUAUUGGAGCGGCCGAUGGCUGAUUAGCUGGUUGGUAGGGUAAAGGCCUACAAAGGCAACGAUCAGUAGCGGGUCUUAGAGGACGAUCCGCCACACUGGAACUGAGACACGGUCCAGACUCCUACGGGAGGCAGCAGUGGGGAAUCUUGGACAAUGGGCGCAAGCCUGAUCCAGCAAUGCCGCGUGCGUGAAGAAGGCCUUCGGGUUGUAAAGCGCUUUUGUCAGGGAGCAAAUCCUUGUGGCUAAUACCCACCGGGGAUGAGAGUACCUGAAGAAUAAGGACCGGCUAACUACGUGCCAGCAGCCGCAGUAACAC